GUGUUCUGUACAACAGCACAUAUACUAAAAUGGAAAUGAAACGGAGAAGACUAGCCUAGCCCUUGUAUAAGGCUGAAAACCAAAUUUGCAAAGCAUUCCAUAUUUUU
rnacentral:snRNA from 1 species